UACCAAUUCAUAAUUUAAGGGGCAAUAAAAGAAAUAACCCAUGAGCACAGUUUCCAAAGUGGACAAGAAAGCUAAUUUACUUAUUACAGGUAUACAGGCAAAUUGAACUAAUGGCUUCAAGAAGGAUAGCGAAAAGAGAGUCUACUAGGUGAAUCGAUUCUUACGAUGUGUUCAUCCUCGAGAAGGAUAGCGAAAAGAGAGUCUACUAGGUGAAUCGAUUCUUACGAUGUGUUCAUCCUCGGCACCAGACUCAUCAUCGCUCGAGUCAUCUCUUGCAUGACUCUCUUGUAGCUGCAAAUCUUGAGCAGUGUUUUCUUGUUUGCUCUCUUGCACAUCAUGUUUCUUCCGCAAAGUAGAAGACCCCUCUGAUCUGACAGAAACAAGACGUCGUGCACCAUUUGAUGGAACUCUUGGGUAAGACAGACUGUGAGAUGGCUUUACUCCGGUAAAUCUUGGAAAGCUACCGUGGCGUCGUCUCCUGUUGUUGUCUAUCUGAUGAAUUUUAACAACAUACCCAUCAAUUCAUUCGUUUCUAAUUUUGGUCAACUUGUAGAGAAAAUUAUACUUAUCACUGUUCAAUUCCUCCAGUUUUCCAUCCACAUGCAUAAAAUAUUCACAAAUUUCUCUAAUAUUGCUAAAAUAAAAUUUUUUGUUUCACUUCAUUCUGAGAAUUUCCUUCAUCAAAUUUAGCAUCAGAGCAAGCUUGAUCCUUGCAGAUGGCAACUUAAGGUCAUUGUGGGCAUAAAUCAGAAAGAUGGUAAGAAAGGAGAAGAGAUUAAUCUUGAAGAGGAGUUAGGUCCUUUCCAUACAAACCUGAACUUCGCUGUGGAUUGGAAGAGAGAAUUAUUUUGGCUAUUCAUUCAAGUGGAGGAACCACAUAUAGUUAAGAAGUUCUCCAUAGGGAGCAAUUUCAAUAGAUUAUUUAAAGGGGAAUGCCAAUCAUGAAGAUAAAGUUAAAAGGAGCUAUAGUUCAAUGGUGAAAGAAAUUUGAAGAGCAAUGGACUCAACAAGGUAAACCAAAAUUUGGACUGGGAAGCGCAGAAAGCCAAACAUUCAAAGAAAUUUUUGUAUGCAGAUAAUACGGAUUUCUUACAAAGGGGCAGAUGAAUAUGUUCAGCCGUUCAGGUAAGAGAUGCACUAAAUUAAAUUGGUACAAACGAGAGUAAUGAGCAGAUGACAUCUCUUCAACUUAUCAGUCUUUACCAUUUAACUAGACAUAAGAUUGAGUUUGAUUUUUCAAUCUAGGAGAUCUUUGACAAUGUCUGUGGAUGGUAGAAAAGAGGGUUUGUGGUAUGGUGCAAGACAAUCUCUAGUUGGACAUAACCAAACAACAAAUCAAAGGGUAUGGUGCAGUUCAAGACAUUCUAAGUAAACAGAGUAGUCAAAAUAAUUGCUGGGGAUCAACACAUCCUUAGGAAUAUAAUCUCCAUCACAAGGAUCUUUGUCUAUGGGGAUUUCCACAUAUUAUUUUGGUUCGAGAUGCAAAGUUCAUGGGACACUUUUGGCAACAUCUUAGAAGGUUUAGUGGAAACUUAAAUAUUCCAGCACUGUUAGCCUAGAAAUAGAGGAACUAAUUGAAGUUUCAAAUAGGAGCCUCUAAUGCUAGUUUGUAUUGCUCAGGAUCAUGUGAUGACUUAGCUUGAGAUCUUGACACGCAUAGAGUUAGAGUUAACUUAUAAUAAUUCUUUCAACCAUACCUUCCAAAACACUACCUUCGAAGCUACCAAAUGUUUAUAAACCAAAACAUGGGUCAUCUUGUUCCUGUAACCUCAAGAAGCUCAACUAACUGAUAAUGGGGGAUUUUCGAUUGAGCAUGUUAAGAAACUGUACAAGGAAGUGCACUGUGCAAUUUUAACUAGUAAUAACCUGUAAUGUUGAACCAGCAAGGCAAUCACAUGCCUCUGAAGAAAUUCAACAGAGAGACUAGGUGCUACCGCAUUUAGGUCUAAGGCACUCACCAUGAGCUGAAAGCUACAAAAUUUGGGUUGUUUAAGUGUUAAGAAAGAUCAGUCUCUUGCACACACCAUUAUUUUUCCCUGACUGCUUGUAGAUUAUCUUCACAUUAAUGCUGUUGGCUUACAACGAGUAUAUUUUAUUUGAAAGUAAUAAAUGGAGAAAUGCAACUGAAUGUUGAUCUCCUCUCAAAGGACCAUCAGAUAUUAUUGAGGAUAUCUAGAAUGUGAAAGAGGUCAGUUCUGGAAGAGGAAAUAUCUAUGGCAGAUUCUUUGUGAAAUGACCAAGUCCACUAGAAAAAGUACAUAGAUGUUAGACAAAGAGCUGAAAAGAGUUAGAUCCAGAAGUAUAUGAAAUCAUCAGACUUCCUUGCUAGAGGAACAUGGGCAGAGUGUACAGGAGCAUACGUAUUUUUCUUACAAAUUUCUUUGGAGCCAGUUCUAUUCAUAUUGGCCUUUUGCAGUCUUUUUAUUUUUGCCUGCCACUUAUAAGUCAGGGUAUUUUGGCCUUCUUCAGUUAUUAGCUUAUCACAGAAAUUUUAUUCUCUUAUAAAACAUGUACUUAAUCAUUAACCAUCACUACGCAUCUGAGUUCUUAGAAAUUCUUAGGGGACAAAUACCCUAGAAUCAUUUGUAUAUCUCUUAUUUGGUAUAUAUGUUCUACUGGGCCAAGUUGUUUAACAAAAAUAUUGCUAUUUUACCUUAUAAUUCCUUCUCCUGCAAGUUUCAUUCAUCAAAUUGACAGAGCAAAAUGCAAAAGUAAAUAACCAUAAAUAGGUGCUGAAGUUAUGCAUCUUUCUCAUAAUCAUGAAAGUAUUUAAAACCAAAAACAUGAAGAGAUGAAGUUACCAUGCCUCCAAAGAUGCUUAACUGCAUAGCCCGCGCUGACAAAUUGUUUCCUUGUUGAUCAGUCUCUUCCAGAGCAUGGACUUGUCGGCUAGACUUGUAAAAAUGCUCAGGCCAACUCAUUAGACCACCAUGCUCUCUAGCUAGAGGUCCAGAUGGAUGGUCAGCAGAAUGUGAUAUCAGUGAAGAUGACCUUCGCUGAAGGGUUCUG
rnacentral:lncRNA from 1 species